UCUGCGCAGUACAGUAUUUCACGAUUGAAAACUACUGCGCAGGCGCAAAUUUAACUUUUCCUCUGUUUCCACAACUUAAUUUACUCUCUUCUUACUUUACCCUCUGUGGUGUAACCAGGCUCUAUUUUGACCUUAAGUUCUAGUGACGCAUCAUCUCACAGUUCUUCAUGAGACAUCGGAGAGGGAACAUUACUCAAAGUACCGGGAAAUGACGCAGACAUGCCCAGAACCUUCAAAUUUAGAGCGAUAAGGAAAAAGGACACACACGAACUAAAGGGAUUCUGAAGAAUUUUCCAAAGGAGAGACAAUUUUCGAAGAAACUGGAGUUUUCAUUAAUUUUCCGGUAGAACUUCAUAAAGAAUGAAGAUAUAUUUUAUAUCUUUCUCAACAAUCAAUGGCGAGCAAAGAAAAGAGGAGGACGCAAAAAUACACCGAAAAGUGACUCAAAAGUAGUGGAAAAUCUAUGAAAAAUGAAUUAUUUAGUUCUCGUUGUAUUAGGUAUUUUCUCUACGAGUUCUAAAAAUGUUUGUUAUUUAGCUAGAGAUUUUUAAACCAAAAAAAUAAUUAUUGUAUUAGCUAGGAAAUUAGCAAUGGACGAUUUUAACGCAAGAGACUUCAACAUCCAGCAUCAACUCGUAAACUUAUGAGUUACAGCGUCAUUUCUAGCAACAUUCUUCGUUCUGAAGAGGAGGGCCAUCACCUGAAAUGCAGAGGGGAAUGGAAGAAGUAAUGAAAGAAGACUCAGAAGAAGGUGAAUAAAAAACUGGAAAAAGGAGUAAUAACCUAAGAGGAUUGUCAGCCAGUUACUCAUGUGCAAGGAUUAAUCAAAAUAUAUUUUCUAUUUUGUAUACUAACUUCGCGUGCAUUUAUAAUUUAAGUGAAAAUAUGUAAAUAUGUAUGUUACAAUAAAACAAAAAUAUCAAUUCAUUUUUUACUAUUUUCUCUAAUUCCUGUCUUUGAAGCGUUACUAAUAAUAUGUUUUAUAUUUUAACUAUUCGAGUGAUUUCAAGAAAACGUAUAAAAACAGCCCUUCAAUUGAUAACAUGGUAAAAUACCAAGCAUUGAAACUAGUAACAAUUCAAUUCGAGUUAAAAAUCAAAGAGUGUUAAAUUUUCAACAAUCUUGCACUUAAGUUCAUUGAGACAGAAUAUUAUGAUUGCAUUCAUUUUACAAAGAAAAAAUUUUACUUGAUCAGUCACUGGAUCCUAAGAGGGCACGUAAAUUUUUUUCGGCCGAAAUCAGAGUACCCUGGACACUUUAAAAUUCAACUUUUGAAUUUGAAUAUUUUGAAUGCGCAAUACAACUUCCUAUGAGGAAACGCAUUUCAAAAUAUAUUUAAAUUCAAAAGUUGAAUUUUGUUUGUUCAGGUGACUCUGAUUUCAGCCAAGAAAAAUUUACGUUCCCUCUUAUAGUAUCCAGCGAAUUAAUUUGAAAGAAAAAAAACUAAAAAGGUCUUUUACUAAAAGGAAAUUACUGUAAGGGUAUACAAUGAAUUGUACCAAUUACUGCGAUAUUCCAUUUGUAAGAAAUAAUUAAGAAUUAAUUUAAACAUUAUUUUUAAAUCGGUCUCACUAAAUUAGAAAUGGUUUAACCAAAUUUAUUUCAAAUUAUAGUAAAUUUUUUUCAAAUUAUAGUAAAGCUUUACAUUUUUUAAAAAAAUAUCAAAUAAAAGUAUUACAGUCGCAGUAAUUGGUGCAUUAGUAGUAACUACUAAUCAAACAUAAACCUACACCCAGAUAAUAAUUUUUGUUAAAAGUGGAUUUUUUUUAAAACAGUAUUUUUA